rfam:Opitutaceae bacterium TAV4 Ga0100231_1130, whole genome shotgun sequence.
CGGGGUGUAGCUUAGCCUGGUAGAGCGCCUGCUUUGGGAGCAGGAGGUCGAGAGUUCGAAUCUCUCCGCCCCGA